rnacentral:rRNA from 1 species
AUUGAACGCUGGCGGCAGGCCUAACACAUGCAAGUCGAGCGGAUGAAGGGAGCUUGCUCCUGGAUUCAGCGGCGGACGGGUGAGUAAUGCCUAGGAAUCUGCCUGGUAGUGGGGGAUAACGUCCGGAAACGGGCGCUAAUACCGCAUACGUCCUGAGGGAGAAAGUGGGGGAUCUUCGGACCUCACGCUAUCAGAUGAGCCUAGGUCGGAUUAGCUAGUUGGUGGGGUAAAGGCCUACCAAGGCGACGAUCCGUAACUGGUCUGAGAGGAUGAUCAGUCACACUGGAACUGAGACACGGUCCAGACUUCUACGGGAGGCAGCAGUGUGGAAUAUUGGACAAUGGGCGAAAGCCUGAUCCAGCCAUGCCGCGUGUGUGAAGAAGGUCUUCGGAUUGUAAAGCACUUUAAGUUGGGAGGAAGGGCAGUAAGUUAAUACCUUGCUGUUUUGACGUUACCAACAGAAUAAGCACCGGCUAACUUCGUG